rnacentral:lncRNA from 1 species
GUGUGUCUGCAGGGAGGACUUUCCCAGCUCCUUUGCUGAUUGGUGUGCAGAAGCCCCACUUCCAUCGCAGGGGUCCUCCAAGUGACAAAGACAAACGUACAGGAGAGAAGGAAUCAAACAACAUCCAGAAACAAAUUGUGGACGAACUGCAGAAAGGGCCUGACAUGGACAUACAGGUUCUGUGGAAGGCAGCAUUUCCUGCAGGCAGCAGUCACUCGUCGGCAGCCUCUGCUGCAGGAAGGAAUGGGAUGGCACACAUGAGUACGGGCCCAGACACAGGAGAUUUGGUUGCUGGGAAGGCUCCUCCAUUAGCCUUGAGAUAUGAAGAUUUGAAGCCCUCUGGGCCACCUGCAGUUACAGGUGUGUCUGCAGACAGGAUUUCCCCAGCUCCUGGGCUGGAUGCUGCACAAAAGCCUGACUCCCAUCACAGGGAAAAGACCAAAUACACCUCAGAGAAGAAAUCCCAGGAGCGAUUUGAAGUCAUGUGGAAAAUGCUGAAGGAAUUCAAGCAGGGAGCACAAGAAGUGGAUGAAGAGGCUGUGCUGAAGGCGGUGUUUCCUGGAGGAAACAGUGGUUCACUGGCAGCCUCUGCUGCAGGAAGGGAGGCCAUGCCAGGCACAGUCCCAGGAGAUUGGGAUCGUGAUAUGGAUUAUGUGGAAGCCCUGGUGGAAAAUGGCUUGAAAUUCUUGGAGGAUAUUGGAGCCAAGCCGCUUGGUGAAGGUGAUGCAGCUUCUCAACCCAUACCCAGGACUGAGCCUCAGGGAGGUGGUGAGGUUACAGGUGUGUCUGCAGGGAGCACUUCCCCAGAUCUUGAGGUGGUUACUGCACCCAAGCCCGGCUCCCAUCGCAGGGGUCCUCCAAAAAGAAAGACCCAAGAUAAUGGAACCAAAAAGUCUGUAUUGUCAAAUGAUUUCCUGAGACCAACAAAGAAAGAAGUGCAGGGAGGACAAGCCGGCACCACAACUCAUGCUCAGAAUAUCUGGGAAAGCAUGAGAAGAAUUUUCAGCCUGGGAACACAUGGUUUGAUUAAGCUAAUGGCCAUUUUGGUUGCUGGAGCCCUUUUUCUGAUGAUGUGCUGUGCUGGAAUCUGGUAUUGUUGGAACAGAAAAGGGAGCAUGUCUGCACCUUCAGAAGACCAGCCAAAGACUCCACUCAGCGAGAAGCUGACCUGUCAUCCCUGGUCUUUAAAUCUGUCCCCAUCUGCUGUGCUGCAGCCCCAUUUUGAGGGUGUCCCAAAACCUAUACCCUCCAAAGCUAAACCCUAUGCCCCAGACCCCCCUGGAUCUGCUCCCUAG